rnacentral:rRNA from 1 species
GGUCAAACGAGACUCUGGGUCACCUCCCACCCGUGUCUAUCGUACCUUGUUGCUUCGGCGGGCCCGCCGUUUCGACGGCCGCCGGGGAGGCCCUGCGCCCCCGGGCCCGCGCCCGCCGAAGACCCCAACAUGAACGCUGUUCUGAAAGUAUGCAGUCUGAGUUGAUUAUCGUAAUCAGUUAAAACUUUCAACAACGGAUCUCUUGGUUCCGGCAUCGAUGAAGAACGCAGCGAAAUGCGAUAAGUAAUGUGAAUUGCAGAAUUCAGUGAAUCAUCGAGUCUUUGAACGCACAUUGCGCCCCCUGGUAUUCCGGGGGGCAUGCCUGUCCGAGCGUCAUUGCUGCCCUCAAGCACGGCUUGUGUGUUGGGCCCCCGUCCCCCUCUCCCGGGGGACGGGCCCGAAAGGCAGCGGCGGCACCGCGUCCGGUCCUCGAGCGUAUGGGGCUUUGUCACCUGCUCUGUAGGCCCGGCCGGCGCCAGCCGACACCCAACUUUAUUUUUCUAAGGUUGACCUCGGAUCAGGUAGGGAUACCCGCUGAACUUAAGCAUAUCAAA